rnacentral:rRNA from 1 species
GGGGGGGCAAGCGUUGUUCGGAAUUACUGGGCGUAAAGGGCGCGCAGGCGGCCUGACAAGUCCCUCGUGAAAUCCCACAGCUCAACUGUGGAACUGCGGGGGAUACUGCCGGGCUUGAGUCCGGGAGAGGAGAGUGGAAUUCCCAGUGUAGCGGUGAAAUGCGUAGAUAUUGGGAGGAACACCGGUGGCGAAGGCGGCUCUCUGGACCGGUACUGACGCUGAGGCGCGAAAGCUAGGGGAGCAAACGGGAUUAGAUACCCCGGGUAGUCCUAGCUGUAAACGUUGAGCACUUGGUGUGGCGGGUAUCGACCCCCUGCCGUGCCGAAGCUAACGCAUUAAGUGCUCCGCCUGGGGGAGUACGGUCGCAAGGCUG